rnacentral:rRNA from 1 species
ACGAACGCUGGCGGCGUGCCUAAUACAUGCAAGUAGAACGCUGAAGAGAGGAGCUUGCUCUUCUUGGAUGAGUUGCGAACGGGUGAGUAACGCGUAGGUAACCUGCCUUGUAGCGGGGGAUAACUAUUGGAAACGAUAGCUAAUACCGCAUAACAAUGGAUGACACAUGUCAUUUAUUUGAAAGGGGCAAUUGCUCCACUACAAGAUGGACCUGCGUUGUAUUAGCUAGUAGGUGAGGUAAUGGCUCACCUAGGCGACGAUACAUAGCCGACCUGAGAGGGUGAUCGGCCACACUGGGACUGAGACACGGCCCAGACUCCUACGGGAGGCAGCAGUAGGGAAUCUUCGGCAAUGGGGGCAACCCUGACCGAGCAACGCCGCGUGAGUGAAGAAGGUUUUCGGAUCGUAAAGCUCUGUUGUAAGUCAAGAACGGGUGUGAGAGUGGAAAGUUCACACUGUGACGGUAGCUUACCAGAAAGGGACGGCUAACUACGUGCCAGCAGCCGCGGUAAUACGUAGGUCCCGAGCGUUGUCCGGAUUUAUUGGGCGUAAAGCGAGCGCAGGCGGUUUGAUAAGUCUGAAGUUAAAGGCUGUGGCUCAACCAUAGUUCGCUUUGGAAACUGUCAAACUUGAGUGCAGAAGGGGAGAGUGGAAUUCCAUGUGUAGCGGUGAAAUGCGUAGAUAUAUGGAGGAACACCGGUGGCGAAAGCGGCUCUCUGGUCUGUAACUGACGCUGAGGCUCGAAAGCGUGGGGAGCGAACAGGAUUAGAUACCCUGGUAGUCCACGCCGUAAACGAUGAGUGCUAGGUGUUGGAUCCUUUCCGGGAUUCAGUGCCGCAGCUAACGCAUUAAGCACUCCGCCUGGGGAGUACGACCGCAAGGUUGAAACUCAAAGGAAUUGACGGGGGCCCGCACAAGCGGUGGAGCAUGUGGUUUAAUUCGAAGCAACGCGAAGAACCUUACCAGGUCUUGACAUCCAACUAACGAAGCAGAGAUGCAUUAGGUGCCCUUCGGGGAAAGUUGAGACAGGUGGUGCAUGGUUGUCGUCAGCUCGUGUCGUGAGAUGUUGGGUUAAGUCCCGCAACGAGCGCAACCCCUAUUGUUAGUUGCCAUCAUUCAGUUGGGCACUCUAGCGAGACUGCCGGUAAUAAACCGGAGGAAGGUGGGGAUGACGUCAAAUCAUCAUGCCCCUUAUGACCUGGGCUACACACGUGCUACAAUGGUUGGUACAACGAGUUGCGAGUCGGUGACGGCGAGCUAAUCUCUUAAAGCCAAUCUCAGUUCGGAUUGUAGGCUGCAACUCGCCUACAUGAAGUCGGAAUCGCUAGUAAUCGCGGAUCAGCACGCCGCGGUGAAUACGUUCCCGGGCCUUGUACACACCGCCCGUCACACCACGAGAGUUUGUAACACCCGAAGUCGGUGAGGUAACCUUUUGGAGCCAGCCGCCUAAGGUGGGACAGAUGAUUGGGGUG